UUUAAAAGUGUGUCUCUAACAUUUUUGUGUUCAAUAAAAGGUAUCAAAAUUGCAUUUACACAAACUAAAAUUGAAGCACAAGAAGAAGAAGAAGAUGGUAGUUUGUUGGUGAUUGUGGUUCGAAAAUUGAUGUUGAUUAUCCCUUUAUAUUAGUCUGACACAACAUUACAAUCUUGGAACCACAGUUACCACCAUACUAUCAAAUUUCUCAGCCAAGAUUCAUUAAUCAAUUGGGAGGUUUGAACACAUUUCUCUCUCUAUCAUAAUUUAUAACAAUUCUUUCUCUUUUGUCUAGUCAAGGCUAGUAUGGUCAGUUUGUAUAAUAUUCAUCUUUUAUAAUAAUAUUUUAAUUUAAUAGUCUAGAUUUUUAUAUUAUGUUAAAUUAUAUAUUCUUUACAAUUAACAUCUCAAAUCGUCAUAGUGAAGUUUGAUUAUAUUAUAUUAUGGGAAAUGCUAACAAUUAUUUUU